AUUGAACGCUGGCGGCAGGCCUAACACAUGCAAGUCGAGCGGAUGAAGGGAGCUUGCUCCUGGAUUCAGCGGCGGACGGGUGAGUAAUGCCUAGGAAUCUGCCUGGUAGUGGGGGAUAACGUCCGGAAACGGGCGCUAAUACCGCAUACGUCCUGAGGGAGAAAGUGGGGGAUCUUCGGACCUCACGCUAUCAGAUGAGCCUAGGUCGGAUUAGCUGUUGGUGGGGUAAAGGCCUACCAAGGCGACGAUCCGUAACUGGUCUGAGAGGAUGAUCAGUCACACUGGAACUGAGACACGGUCCAGACUCCUACGGGAGGCAGCAGUGGGGAAUAUUGGACAAUGGGCGAAAGCCUGAUCCAGCCAUGCCGCGUGUGUGAAGAAGGUCUUCGGAUUGUAAAGCACUUUAAGUUGGGAGGAAGGGCAGUAAGUUAAUACCUUGCUGUUUUGACGUUACCAACAGAAUAAGCACCGGCUAACUUCGUG
rnacentral:rRNA from 1 species